AACUGAUACUACCUGCGGGAACCUGCGGAAGGAUCAUUACCGAGUGUUGAUUGUUAUGCAAUCGCCUCCCACCCUUGAUUAUUUAUCCUGUUGCUUCGGCGAGACGUCUUUUUGGAAAAAAAAAGCCGUCGACUAGAUGGAUACGACUUCACUGAAGUUUGUAUUUUGUGGGCGUGAGCUCGCCGAAGGUUUUCAAACUCUGAUAAUUUGAAGUCUGAAAAUUCAAAAAAUUGAUUAAAA
rnacentral:misc_RNA from 1 species